UGCUGGAGGUAUCAGAAGUGCGAAUGCUGACAUAAGUAACGAUAAAGCGGGUGAAAAGCCCGCUCGCCGGAAGACCAAGGGUUCCUGUCCAACGUUAAUCGGGGCAGGGUGAGUCGACCCCUAAGGCGAGGCCGAAAGGCGUAGUCGAUGGGAAACAGGUUAAUAUUCCUGUACUUGGUGUUACUGCGAAGGGGGGACGGAGAAGGCUAUGUUAGCCGGGCGACGGUUGUCCCGGUUUAAGCAUGUAGGCUGGUUGUCCAGGCAAAUCCGGAUAAUCAAGGCUGAGGUGUGAUGACGAGGCACUACGGUGCUGAAGUAACAAAUGCCCUGCUUCCAGGAAAAGCCUCUAAGCAUCAGGUAACAUCAAAUCGUACCCCAAACCGACACAGGUGGUCAGGUAGAGAAUACCAAGGCGCUUGAGAGAACUCGGGUGAAGGAACUAGGCAAAAUGGUGCCGUAACUUCGGGAGAAGGCACGCUGGUGUGUAGGUGAAGUCCCUGCGGAUGGAGCUGAGACCAGUCGAAGAUACCAGCUGGCUGCAACUGUUUAUUAAAAACACAGCACUGUGCAAACACGAAAGUGGACGUAUACGGUGUGACGCCUGCCCGGUGCCGGAAGGUUAAUUGAUGGGGUUAUCCGUAAGGAGAAGCUCUUGAUCGAAGCCCCGGUAAACGGCGGCCGUAACUAUAACGGUCCUAAGGUAGCGAAAUUCCUUGUCGGGUAAGUUCCGACCUGCACGAAUGGCGUAAUGAUGGCCAGGCUGUCUCCACCCGAGACUCAGUGAAAUUGAACUCGCUGUGAAGAUGCAGUGUACCCGCGGCAAGACGGAAAGACCCCGUGAACCUUUACUAUAGCUUGACACUGAACAUUGAGCCUUGAUGUGUAGGAUAGGUGGGAGGCUUUGAAGCGUGGACGCCAGUCUGCGUGGAGCCAACCUUGAAAUACCACCCUUUAAUGUUUGAUGUUCUAACGUUGGCCCCUUACCGGGGUUGCGGACAGUGUCUGGUGGGUAGUUUGACUGGGGCGGUCUCCUCCCAAAGCGUAACGGAGGAGCACGAAGGUUAGCUAAUCCUGGUCGGACAUCAGGAGGUUAGUGCAAUGGCAUAAGCUAGCUUGACUGCGAGCGUGACGGCGCGAGCAGGUGCGAAAGCAGGUCAUAGUGAUCCGGUGGUUCUGAAUGGAAGGGCCAUCGCUCAACGGAUAAAAGGUACUCCGGGGAUAACAGGCUGAUACCGCCCAAGAGUUCAUAUCGACGGCGGUGUUUGGCACCUCGAUGUCGGCUCAUCACAUCCUGGGGCUGAAGUAGGUCCCAAGGGUAUGGCUGUUCGCCAUUUAAAGUGGUACGCGAGCUGGGUUUAGAACGUCGUGAGACAGUUCGGUCCCUAUCUGCCGUGGGCGCUGGAGAAUUGAGGGGGGCUGCUCCUAGUACGAGAGGACCGGAGUGGACGCAUCACUGGUGUUCGGGUUGUCAUGCCAAUGGCACUGCCCGGUAGCUAAAUGCGGAAGAGAUAAGUGCUGAAAGCAUCUAAGCACGAAACUUGCCCCGAGAUGAGUUCUCCCUGAGACUUUAAGUCUCCUGAAGGAACGUUAAAGACGAUGACGUUGAUAGGCCGGGUGUGUAAGCGCAGCGAUGCGUUGAGCUAACCGGUACUAAUGAACCGUGAGGCUUAACCUU
rnacentral:rRNA from 2 species